GGAUGAACGCUGGCGGCGUGCUUAACACAUGCAAGUCGAACGAACCUUCGGGUUAGUGGCGGACGGGUGAGUAACGCGUGAGAAUCUGCCCUCAGGAGGGGGACAACAGCUGGAAACGGCUGCUAAUACCCCAUAUGCCGCGAGGUGAAAUGAAUUUCGCCUGAGGAUGAGCUCGCGUCUGAUUAGCUAGUUGGUGUAGGUAAUGGCUCACCAAGGCAUCGAUCAGUAGCUGGUCUGAGAGGAUGAUCAGCCACACUGGGACUGAGACACGGCCCAGACUCCUACGGGAGGCAGCAGUGGGGAAUUUUCCGCAAUGGGCGAAAGCCUGACGGAGCAACGCCGCGUGAGGGAUGAAGGCCUCUGGGCUGUAAACCUCUUUUAUCAAGGAAGAAGAUCUGACGGUACUUGAUGAAUAAGCCACGGCUAAUUCCGUGCCAGCAGCCGCGGUAAUACGGGAGUGGCAAGCGUUAUCCGGAAUUAUUGGGCGUAAAGCGUCCGCAGGCGGCCCUUCAAGUCUGCUGUUAAAAAGUGGAGCUUAACUCCAUCAUGGCAGUGGAAACUGUUGGGCUUGAGUGUGGUAGGGGCAGAGGGAAUUCCCGGUGUAGCGGUGAAAUGCGUAGAUAUCGGGAAGAACACCAGUGGCGAAAGCGCUCUGCUGGGCCAUCACUGACGCUCAUGGACGAAAGCCAGGGGAGCGAAAGGGAUUAGAUACCCCUGUAGUCCUGGCCGUAAACGAUGAACACUAGGUGUCGGGGGAAUCGACCCCCUCGGUGUCGUAGCCAACGCGUUAAGUGUUCCGCCUGGGGAGUACGCACGCAAGUGUGAAACUCAAAGGAAUUGACGGGGGCCCGCACAAGCGGUGGAGUAUGUGGUUUAAUUCGAUGCAACGCGAAGAACCUUACCAGGGUUUGACAUCCUGCGAAUCUCUUGGAAACAGGAGAGUGCCUUCGGGAACGCAGUGACAGGUGGUGCAUGGCUGUCGUCAGCUCGUGUCGUGAGGUGUUGGGUUAAGUCCCGCAACGAGCGCAACCCACGUCUUUAGUUGCCAGCAUUUAGUUGGGCACUCUAGAGAGACUGCCGGUGAUAAACCGGAGGAAGGUGUGGAUGACGUCAAGUCAUCAUGCCCCUUACAUCCUGGGCUACACACGUACUACAAUGCUACGGACAAAGGGCUGCAAGUUCGCGAGGACAAGCAAAUCCCAUAAACCGUGGCUCAGUUCAGAUCGUAGGCUGCAACUCGCCUACGUGAAGGCGGAAUCGCUAGUAAUCGCAGGUCAGCAUACUGCGGUGAAUACGUUCCCGGGCCUUGUACACACCGCCCGUCACACCAUGGAAGUUGGCCACGCCCGAAGCCGUUACUCCAACCCUUGUGGAGGAGGACGUCGAAGGUGGGGCUGAUGACUGGGGU
rnacentral:rRNA from 1 species